GCCCCUCCCAUCUCGUUUAGAGAUUGGCUUCACCUGCUUGGAGCCUUUAAAAGCUGGGUGAAUCCAAGAUGGCUCUCUCUCUCUCCCUCCUGGAAGGCUGGUGUCUGACAGGCACCCACUUUUGUUUUGUGAUGGACAGAUGUGGCACGGCAGAGCGACCAGGCAGGGAGCGACACCUCAGUCCUGAUGCCUUCAGCUUCCAUUCCCUACUUAGCGAGCAGCAGGAGAGGAAAUUAUGACAGAGAGAGAGAGAAAAAGAAAGAUAAUUACUUUCUAUAUGCAGCUCUUAUCAUGCUGUUUCACACAGAAGUUGGUCAAAAGAGCAACAUGUUGACAUGUAGAGUUAAUAUCAGAGGAAACAUGAAACAAAAGUGACAGGUGACCAAGUUUAUGUGCUCUCUGAGGGUUAGUUUUCACUAUGAGGAUGUUUGAUAGAAAAAGCAUUGCCUCAGGCCUUGCUGGUGGCACCUUUUUGGAUUCAGUGUUUGCUUCACAAGUGCAGCAUUCAAGGCCUGUAACUCUGGCUUACUGGGGUUGUGUUCAAAAGCAGAUUCUUGAGGCAGAAAAGAUAUGAAAAAGCUGUCUCAAGUUGAAAAAAAUCAAGCUUGAGCUGAGAAACAAGCAAAGAAAUCCAACAAAGCUCAGGCAGGCGGGGAUAUUUGAAGGUAGAAACUUCUCCUGGCUGUUAUAGAGGGACAGAUGUGGAGGGAAACCAAACCAGAGGAAGGAGGAAGCUAGUGUUAAAUACUCAACAGGUGAGGAGGCAGGGGAAACAUGAUGAGGCCCUCUAGUGGACAGGAGGAUGAAUCACUUCAUGUAAUGUGUGUUUGGAAAAGUAAGAACAUGUUGCCAUUGUUGAACAGAUGAAGCAAUUAAAGAUCUCAUCAUGCAACCAGUGCACACCUCAAGUGACGUGAAGCAGGAUGAGUAACAAUCGGAGGAGGAAGAUGCCUGCACAUCCUUCUGCAUAGUAGUGGUGUAAAUACAAUAUUGUCAUCAUAGCUUGGAUCUCUGUUGCUUCAUGCGGCCUCAUGUUGCAAACAUUACACUGUGGCUUUCACAGCAUGCUUUUGAUGUUAUGUUCUGCCUCCUGAGACUAAUUUAAUCCAAAAAUUAAACACAAGUCUUAUCUUCUUUGCUGUUUUUGUGCAUUUCAGCCCCAAAACAAAAACAGCAACAGCACUGUGAUGUUUUUCCUGCAUAUUAUAGGAAGAAAACUCAACUUCCAGCUGAAUUGAACCUGUGUAAGCUGAGGAAAAAUGCAUCCCACAUCAGGAUAUUCAAUAAAAAU